GACGAACGCUGGCGGCGUGCCUAAUACAUGCAAGUCGAGCGGACAGAUGGGAGCUUGCUUCCUGAUGUUAGCGGCGGACGGGUGAGUAACACGUGGGUAACCUGCCUGUAAGACUGGGAUAACUCCGGGAAACCGGGGCUAAUACCGGAUGGUUGUUUGAACCGCAUGGUUCAAACAUAAAAGGUGGCUUCGGCCACCACUUACAGAUGGACCCGCGGCGCAUUAGCUAGUUGGUGAGGUAACGGCUCACCAAGGCGACGAUGCGUAGCCGACCUGAGAGGGUGAUCGGCCACACUGGGACUGAGACACGGCCCAGACUCCUACGGGAGGCAGCAGUAGGGAAUCUUCCGCAAUGGACGAAAGUCUGACGGAGCAACGCCGCGUGAGUGAUGAAGGUUUUCGGAUCGUAAAGCUCUGUUGUUAGGGAAGAACAAGUACCGUUCGAAUAGGGCGGUACCUUGACGGUACCUAACCAGAAAGCCACGGCUAACUACGUGCCAGCAGCCGCGGUAAUACGUAGGUGGCAAGCGUUGUCCGGAAUUAUUGGGCGUAAAGGGCUCGCAGGCGGUUUCUUAAGUCUGAUGUGAAAGCCCCCGGCUCAACCGGGGAGGGUCAUUGGAAACUGGGGAACUUGAGUGCAGAAGAGGAGAGUGGAAUUCCACGU
rnacentral:rRNA from 1 species